GCCUGGCUGGCUCAAUUGGUAGAGCAUGUGACUCUUGAUCGUAGGGUCAUGAGUUCAAGCCCCUUGUUGGGCA
rnacentral:tRNA from 1 species